GCUUCCGCCUUCUCCUGGCAGUUCUACGAAGGCCUGGGGCCGUGACCUCCCUGAGCGUGGGACGGGGACUGGGGCCGGGGCUGUGGGUGGGCAGCGUGCCACCAAGGGCCCCCAGGGCACCCUGGACAGCCCCUCCCGGCAGCCCCCGGGAGCCCCUCCCCCAGCCCAGGUCCCGCGGGGCCCUUUGGAGCAGGCUGCAGCACCCCCAGGUGCCCGGCCCCGGGCGUCAUGGCCACUUUAAGGCGGGCCUGGGGCGUGCGCGCCCACAGCUGCGGGCCGCGAGACCCAUCAGCGUGGCCCGAGCCGGCGUCCGGGACGCGGCGGCUCGGCCGAGCUCCUCCUGCGGUGAGGCUGCCCCAGGACCCGGCACGUGGGCAACAGGCCAUGGCGGCCUCAAUUACCCGCCCGGAGCGCGGCCGAAUCUCUGGCCAGGCAAAAAUAGACCUCCUAUUAGUUGGAGAUGUCACUGUUCAGUACCUGGCUGAUAUUGCACAGAAAUCCUUUUCACAUAUUGCAAAAGUCUCCAUAACCAUCAGAGAUGUGGAGGGGGCAGCAGCACUUCUGGAGAAUUGCCCAUUUGACAUGGUUUUCUUGAAGAUGACUUCUUUACCAACUGCUGACGAGCUGGAAGCUGCCAAAUUAAUUAGAUUUGGCAAGAAGAAAAAUAUACAUUUGCUGUUUGUUUUUAUAACCCCUGAAAACUUUAAAGGUUGUGUUUCAGGGCAUGGAGCUGAUGUUACUUUAAUUGAACCACUGACAAUCGAAAAAAUGAGUAUUGUGGUAAAAUACUGGAAAACAUAUUUCUCAAAUACCGUUAAGAAUGAAUAUUCUGUGAAGCCUGAAGAACCUGGAUUGCCCAUGCAGAACUCCUGCAGUGAACACUUGGGAUAUUUUUCUACUGACCUAUUUGCUUGCUCUGAAUCAUUAAGAAGUGAGACUGGGCUUGAAUUAAAGGCUCCAUUGCCAGAGUUUGAGAAAAGCAAAAAGGUUUCUCUUCUUCAUUCAAGCAAAGAAAAGCUGAGAAGAGAACGAAUCAAGUAUUGCUGUGAGCAGCUGCGUACUCUGUUGCCAUAUAUAAAGGGGAGAAAGAAUGAUGCAGCUUCGAUUCUUGAGGCCACAGUUGAUUAUGUGAAGUACGUCCGGGAGAAAAUCCCUCCAGCCAUUAUGGGCCAGAUCACAGAAGUACUUCAGAACAAUAUGAAGUUUUGUAAGAAACAAGUGUCCAUCCAGCCAUCCCUCCCAGGCCCAAUCAUGGCACAAAGGGAAAAUGGUGUAUUGACAAGCACCUAUUCACCUGUGAGAGGGAUCAGAUUCCUGGCUAAUAAGUGUGUGAAUGUGUACUCUGUUCCUGCCUCAGGGGGCUCCUUGGAUGAAGCUGUGAGAGGUCAGUCCAGCUCCACUUCAGAGAAUGCAAUUGGUGAUAUGUAUAAAACUCGAAUUCCCAGCAAAGCUCUCUCUCUUAAUUCCUUCCAUGCUGUCAGAUACUAUUCUAAAGUUGUCCCUUCCUAUGAUGCAGCUGCUGUAACAAAUCAGAACAUUUCAGUUCAUUUUCCAUCAGCUGUGCCCAAAGUCUCAAAGUUUCUUCCUCAGCACUACAAUUCUGUGCUGGGCCAGACGUGCUCAACACAUCCCAACUGUCUGGUAAGUCUUCUGGGGUCUUGGAUCAGAUUGGAGUCUUUCAUUCCAGCUAUCAGGGCCCCUGGCUUGCAUUUUGUUAUUAAUACUCUGGUCAGAAGUCUCUUAGACUGGGGCCAGGUGCACUUAACCCAGGCUCUCGUUCCCCAUGCUGCAGGACUGAUAUCUAGAUAUCCAGAAUUAGUGAAUCUGAAUGUGAUGCUGCUGGUGUGACCUUAAGUGGCCAGAUGGGACCUGUUUCCUCUAGAGCCCCUCCCUUCAGCCCCUCUGCUUCUAUGAUGCCACAUCCCAUUUCACCAGCCUCAUCCUCAACCACCUCCAUCACCCCCCGCCAACUGUCUGCUGCUUUAUCUCAUUGGCUGGUAGUAGUCAAUCAGGCUAAAGGAAAACCUGUUCAGCCAAUAUAAACCAGGCUGAUUUGAGAUCCCAGAUGUCCUCAUAUCACAGAUAUUUAUUGAGCAUCCACUCUGUUCUAGCAUUGUGCUAAGCACCAAGAAUGUAGUGUAUAGAUAGACAUGAUCCCUGCCUGAGUGUCAUAGGGAAGCAUAGAAGCAGGCAAUUGUGAUCCACGUUGGGGCAUGUAGGAGGAGGACCCUAGUAUAUAUAGUAUAAUCUAGAUUUGGGAGAGGUUAGUGGCUGCUCACCCCUGGAAGAAGUACUAUCUAAGCUGAGAUCUGAAGGAUAAGAAUUAGCCCAGUAGAGAGGUCAGGAGUUGGGAGUGAGGAGGGGAAAAGCAUUCUAGGCAGAUGGAUAUAAACAGUGGUAUCUUUUUUUUUUUUUAAUGUUUCAAGUUUUCAUUUAAAUUCUAGUUAGUUAUAUAAACAAUGGUAUCUUUAUUUUUUGGAAGAACUGUCCUGUUUUAGAUGAAGACCCAAACCAGCCUGGCCUGCUUUCAAUGGAAUCCUGAUAACCUUAAUAUAGUUGCUAAUACUUUUGCAUAUUAAUAAUAGCUAACAUGUUUUGAGCACUCAAUAAGCAAUCUGCCACAUACUCUGUGUACUUAAUGUGGAUGAUCUAAUGAAUCUCUGAAACAAUACUUUGAGCAACAGUUUUGGGCAUAUUAAUAGCACAUGUUUGAAAUUCACACUCUAGACCACCUGUUGGGUACAGUUUGACAAUAAAGGAAGAAUGGAACAAAGAAUGAUCUUGAAAGCUACACCCAGAGACCUAAUAUCAAAAGAGUUUGCACUGUAUGGCUUCUGAUAAAUGUGCUAAAAGCUUCUGCAGAUAGAUAGCAAAAGUGCUAGCCACUCGCUUUCACUUAACCUCAGAUAUACUUGGAUCUCCCCCAGCCAGAGCACUACAAGAACAGAUGGCCUGGUGACCUAGACUUCUUUUUUUUUUUUUCCUCCUCCUCAAAAAAUAUUCCACAAUUUAUGACCCGCUACAACGAAGGUCCAGGUACACUGGAUAAAUUGGUAAGAUUAGGGAGGUGCUUUGAUACUCCAGCCUCACUGAGUAUAGAUGUUACAACCCGAUUCCUAUUUUUAGUAUCACUGUGAAUAACUGUCACUCAUUUCUAGGUGGUAUCUUUCUAGAUUUGACAUCUUAGAGAGCUUCCUCCAUUAUGCACCAUCCAAACUAAGAUCUCUCGGUUCAACAGGGGUGUAUAUCUCCUCACUUGACUCCUAAUGAAUAAAUUGAUGUGUUUGUUUUUGCAUUUUGUAAUCCCUUGAGUGAAAUGAUAGCUAAUAGGUAGAUUUUUCUUUCUGGAUCUUCAGCUACAGACUUUCUUUGUUAUUCAUCUCUUCCUCCCUGCUGAUAUUAGAAAAGACAAAUUAGAAAAAAACUGCUGAAAAUAAGGGGAGAAAAAUAUUUGUUUUAUAUUUCACUGAAAUGUUCUUACACAUAUAAUAAAUUUUAUUGUUAAAGAAAAUAUUCAGUGUUCACCUUGAAAAUGGUAGUCUGUUUUUGUUUUGUUUAAUAAAUAUGCGUUCCCUUUUUUAGUAGUACGAUAUAGGGAAUUUAAUUUUACUAGAUUUUUGAGAAGUUUAAAAAUUACUUUAGGCAUAGCCUAAUUUUCAUGUUAAAUUGUAUAACUUUUCCUUGAGGAUGCCAUGAUAAUGGAACCUGUAGAUAUUUGACCAACUUUAUCUUUAUAAAGGAACUACAAGUUUCCAA